rnacentral:lncRNA from 1 species
AAUGGACCUUGUAAGAACCUGACAGUUGGUGAGCAAAUCUUGAUUGAAUCGCAUGGGAAGAUCAUGAAUAUAAAUAUAUCGACCCAAGCAAGAAUCUUGACUUGAACUUUCACCAACUAAACUAUGAAUCUUCUUCAUUGAGUGGUGGUGAGAUGAAGGUCGAGCAUCGAUUGAAAAGAAAAACAGGUGACAAAGAAAGACUACUAAAACAAUGGAAAACAUAAGAAGAAAGCACAAAUAUUUGCUGCAAUUUAUUCUCCUGGAUUGAUUCCUCCAUUUGUUUUUGAGGGGUUUGGCAACACAAAACUCACUUAUCAGUGCAUGGAAUUUCA